AUACUUAGCUAGCAGGAGCGAUACCAUAAUCAUUAACGUGGUUUUCCCAGGGUGAGGCUUAUCCAUUGCACUUCCCUGUGAUCUCCCCAUUAAAAAAAAAAAAAAAAAAAAAGAUUCAAGAUUUGAGGCAGAACACUGUCCCUUUUGACCUGCAGGUUUGAUUCUGC
ensembl:snRNA U1 U1 spliceosomal RNA